UAGUUUGAUCCUGGCUCAGGAUGAAAGCAGAGCAGGCUUAACACAUGCAAGUCGAGGGGCAUCGAGGGUAGAAAAACCUGUCGGCGACCGGCGCACGGGUGAGUAACGCGUAUGUAACCUGCCCGCAACAGAGGGAUAACCCGGCGAAAGUCGGACUAAUACCUCAUAAAACAGGGGUUCCGCAUGGGGCUAUUUGUUAAAGAUUUAUUGGUUGCGGAUGGGCAUGCGUACCAUUAGGUAGUUGGUGAGGUAACGGCUCACCAAGCCAUCGAUGGUUAGGGGUUCUGAGAGGAAGGUCCCCCACACUGGUACUGAGACACGGACCAGACUCCUACGGGAGGCAGCAGUGAGGAAUAUUGGUCAAUGGGCGAGAGCCUGAACCAGCCAAGUCGCGUGAAGGAUGACUGCCCUAUGGGUUGUAAACUUCUUUUACAGGGGAAUAAAAUGAGAUACGUGUAUUUUAUUGCAUGUACCUUGUGAAUAAGCAUCGGCUAACUCCGUGCCAGCAGCCGCGGUAAUACGGAGGAUGCGAGCGUUAUCCGGAUUUAUUGGGUUUAAAGGGUGCGUACGUGGGCUGUUAAGUCCGC
rnacentral:rRNA from 1 species